AUUGCCCUAGUAACGGCGAGUGAAGCGGCAACAGCUCAAAUUUGAAAUCUGCCUUCGGGCCGAGUUGUAAUUUGUAGAGGAAGCUUUUGGUGAGGCACCUUCUGAGUCCCCUGGAACGGGGCGCCAUAGAGGGUGAGAGCCCCGUAUAGUCGGAUGCCGAUCCAAUGUAAAGCUCCUUCGACGAGUCGAGUAGUUUGGGAAUGCUGCUCAAAAUGGGAGGUAAAUUUCUUCUAAAGCUAAAUACCGGCCAGAGACCGAUAGCGCACAAGUAGAGUGAUCGAAAGAUGAAAAGCACCUUGAAAAGGGGGUUAAAUAGCACGUGAAAUUGUUGAAAGGGAAGCGUUUGCGGCCAGACUUGCGCCGCCCCGAUCAUCCGGUGUUCUCACCGGUGCACUCGGGGCGGCGCAGGCCAGCAUCGGUUUCGGCGGGGGGAUAAAGGCCCGGGGAAUGUAGCUCCUUCGGGAGUGUUAUAGCCCCGGGCGUAAUGCCCUCGCCGGGACCGAGGUUCGCGCAUCUGCAAGGAUGCUGGCGUAAUGGCCGCCAACGACCCGUCUUGAAACACGGACCAAGGAGUCAAGGUUUUGCGCGAGUGUUUGGGUGUAAAACCCGCACGCGUAAUGAAAGUGAACGUAGGUGAGAGCUUCGGCGCAUCAUCGACCGAUCCUGAUGUAUUCGGAUGGAUUUGAGUAAGAGCGUUAAGCCUUGGACCCGAAAGAUGGUGAACUAUGCUUGGAUAGGGUGAAGCCAGAGGAAACUCUGGUGGAGGCUCGCAGCGGUUCUGACGUGCAAAUCGAUCGUCAAAUCUGAGCAUGGGGGCGAAAGACUA
rnacentral:rRNA from 1 species